CAGCCGCCGCGGUAAUACGUAGGUGGCAAGCGUUGUCCGGAUUUAUUGGGUGUAAAGCGAGCGCAGGCGGUCAAUUAAGUCUGAUGUGAAAGCCCCCGGCUCAACCGGGGAGGGUCAUUGGAAACUGGUUGACUUGAGUGCAGAAGAGGAGAGUGGAAUUCCAUGUGUAGCGGUGAAAUGCGUAGAUAUAUGGAGGAACACCAGUGGCGAAGGCGACUCUCUGGUCUGUAACUGACGCUGAGGCUCGAAAGCGUGGGUAGCAAACAGGAUUAGAUACCCCUGUAGUCCCUGUCUCUUAUAC
rnacentral:rRNA from 1 species